GUGUCCCUUCACGCGGUGUUUAAGGAUGAAUUAAACAACAUUGCACAAGGAAUGGGCAAACUGGUAUUUUUUGUUCAUUUGACAUUAUUGCCGCUAUAAAUAUUUAUAACAUUAUCAUAAGAAGGUUGCAGUUCAUUUCCGAAUCACGUGAAAAGUUGUUAAAGUCUAAGCAGUGAAAGGACAGUUCUCUAUCAGCCACUCCUUGCUGCUGAAUUGCUGAGAACAAUCACAAAGCAAACACCUGUGGUCAACACUUCAUUGCAUUUCUCUUGCUAAGACCGUCACACGUAAACAUCACAGGAUGAAGAAAGCGAUGAUUCUAUUCCUGGUGGCUACAAUUUGUGCUGUAACCCUAGCAGUAUCAGUUGAUGAUCUCACCCCUGAUCAAUGCCUAUAUGGUGGAGUGGUGUACAACAGCGGCGAUAGUUUCAAGUCCACCGAUGGUUGCAAUAGGUGUGGCUGCGGGGGAAAGAACGCUGUGUUCUGUACGCUCAUGGCUUGCAUUCCAACAAACGUUGAUGGAUAGAGGGGAUGCUGAUGCAGUACAACACCCCGUGUAGCAUCCAAAAUGAUACAUUUGUAAUCCCAACAAUAAACUGUUAUAUGUUGUA